rnacentral:rRNA from 1 species
UACGUAGGGGGCAAGCGUUGUUCGGAAUUACUGGGCGUAAAGGGCGCGUAGGCGGCACAGCAAGUCGGAAGUGAAAGCCCGGGGCUCAACCCCGGAAUGUCUUUCGAAACUGCUGAGCUAGAGUGCAGAAGAGGCAACUGGAAUUCCCAGUGUAGCGGUGAAAUGCGUAGAUAUUGGGAAGAACACCUGAGGCGAAGGCGGGUUGCUGGGCUGACACUGACGCUGAGGUGCGAAAGCGUGGGGAGCAAACAGG